GCAUAUAUGCUCACAGUCACCUUCUGCCAGUGUUGUCCUGGAGUUUGCUUGUAAAGUUUGGACAUAAAGAAGCCAUAUUCGCUGCAAGUGAAUUGAAGCUAUUUCAGGAGGACUUUUUUGGAAAGACCUGGGAGGAGCAGAUGCGCCAAAAGACACCGAGUUUGGAAAACAAGUUUAAUCUAUGGACUCCAGUAGCAGACGAUCCACUGCCAACACCUAAACAUGCCUAUAUCUGGAACAUAGACGCAGCCUCUGUCUCCAUGCAUGGACGGGCCGUUUCCAUAAUUCGCCCUCUGCCUGACUACAGAUGGGCCUCUCUCCUUUGAAGGGAAGAAGUCGACCUCGCUGAGGGACUUGGCAAUCUGCAAAGCGGUGAGGGAGUUGUCUCCUGUUGGG